UUAAAAGAUGGAAGACAUUGGGUUUGUUUAAAUUGUUGGUCAAACUAUGUCAAGAGUGCUUAAAGUCCCGGUGAGAUAUAAACACCGUAACUGUUGCAUAUUCUGGAUCCAUGAACAAGUAAAGAGGAAUCAAUCAAUGAAGGAAAGAAGAUAUGUUGGAUGACUUUAUCUCAGAAGUUAUGUUAAAAAUUUUUGAAGACCAGUUUACUUCUUGAUAGGGUAAGCACCCCAUGAUGGGCUCACCAACUCCUCGUCUAGCACCAACCCCAGCAAUUCCUAGAUGAUCUCCUAUCCAAGUAUUGGUGGAGCCUGAACAUGCUUAGCUUCAGGUGGAUGCCUCCUUCUGAAGUGCUUGUGGUAUGACUCUUAAAUCCUUCUCACAAGGUGUAUUUUCAGGUUUACUGGCCUAUACAACAACAACAACAUUUAUUUAUAUAGCACAUUUUCAUACAAAAAGUAGCUCAAAGUGCUUUACAUAAUGAAGAAUUGAA